rnacentral:rRNA from 2 species
UUUUAAAAGGAAAUAGACCCUCGCACAGUAAGAGCGCUGGGCGUGCGUCAUACAUACACAACUAGAGAGCACAUUAGAAACCUGGCUCUAUGAUGUUAGCGGCGGACGGGUGAGUAACACGUGGGUAACCUGCCUGUAAGACUGGGAUAACUCCGGGAAACCGGAGCUAAUACCGGAUAGUAUUUUGUCCCGCAUGAUACAAAAAUGAAAGAUGGUUUCGGCUAUCACUUACAGAUGGACCCGCGGCGCAUUAGCUAGUUGGUGAGGUAACGGCUCACCAAGGCAACGAUGCAUAGCCGACCUGAGAGGGUGAUCGGCCACACUGGGACUGAGACACGGCCCAGACUCCUACGCCGAGGCAGCAGUAGGGAAUCUUCCGCAAUGGACGAAAGUCUGACGGAGCAACGCCGCGUGAGUGAUGAAGGUCUUUCGGAUCGUAAAGACUCUGUUGUUAGGGAAGAACAAGUUACGAAGAGUAACUGCCUCUGCUACCUCUGACGGUAGGCUAACCA